rnacentral:rRNA from 1 species
UACGGGGGGGGCAAGCGUUGUUCGGAAUUACUGGGCGUAAAGGGCUCGUAGGCGGCCAACUAAGCCGGAUGUGAAAUCCCCAGGCUUAACCUGGGAACUGCAUCCGAUACUGGAUGGCUUGAAUCCGGGAGAGGGAUGCAGAAUUCCAGGUGUAGCGGUGAAAUGCGUAGAUAUCAAGAGGAACACCUGAGGUGAAGACGGGUUGCUGGGCCGACACUGACGCUGAGUGCGCGAAAGCCAGGGGAGCAAACGGG